GAUGAACGCUGGCGGCGUGCCUAAUACAUGCAAGUCGAGCGAACAGACGAGGAGCUUACUCCUCUGACGUUAGCGGCGGACGGGUGAGUAACACGUGGAUAACCUACCUAUAAGACUGGGAUAACUUCGGGAAACCGGCGCUAAUACCGGAUAACAUGUUGAACCGCAUGGUUCAACAGUGAAAGACGGUCUUGCUGUCACUUAUAGAUGGAUCCGCGUCGCAUUAGCUAGUUGGUAAGGUAACGGCUUACCAAGGCAACGAUGCGUAGCCGACCUGAGAGGGUGAUCGGCCACACUGGAACUGAGACACGGUCCAGACUCCUAAGGGAGGCAGCAGUAGGGAAUCUGCCGCAAUGGGCGAAAGCCUGACGGAGCAACGCCGCGUGAGUGAAGAAGGUCUUCGGAUCGUAAAACUCUGUUAUUAGGGAAGAACAAAUGUGUAAGUAACUAUGCACGUCUUGACGGUACCUAAUCAGAAAGCCACGGCUAACUACGUG
rnacentral:rRNA from 1 species